GACCCAAGAUCUCUCUCUCUCUCUCUCCCAAAAAAUCCCCAAUCCCUCCUCCAUCUCCAAUCGAACCUCCCCCUCCAUCUCCAAUCCGCCAUCUCCAACGCCGACGAUCUCCCAAAUCACCCAUCUCCAACCGGAGCUCCCCAGAUCCGCCUCACCACCACGACUACAAAGUUUGAGACCGCCUCCUCCGCCACGACUACGACGUCUGAGAUCGCCGACUUCCCCAACUCAUCCGACGCCGACAACGAUUAAGUCCAACUUCGCUGACCGUGACCGACUAUCCCCAACUCCCUCGAGCUCGAUCUUGAGAUCCCCCAACUCAGGUUAUCCAUGGCUAGAAAAAGUUUUUAUGUUGUGAAGAGAGGUUGACGAUGUGAUAUUUUUAAUAAUUGGGAGGAAUGUAAAUCUCAGGUAGAUAAGUUCCCAAAUGCCUCCUACAAAGGGUAUGCAACAUACGAAGAGGCUUUGAUUGAAUGAGAGAAGCACACACUCGCUCGUGAUUCAGCAUCCAGCACGAGGCCUGUCCAAACAUCUGUUUAUGCUUAAGAACAAAGAUAUCCAGUGAGCCAUAAUCUGAAUGUUAACAAGGAAAAACUUACGGAAACUUUUAUUUUCUCUAUCUAUGCUUUUGUAUUAGGUUCAUUGUUUACAAUAUUAGUAUUUCUAGUAUGUAUCGUUGCGGUAUUUGUUGGUUUCUCCAUUGCAAAAAACAUGUGAUGUAAUUUGUGGCUGAGCUUGCAUUGGUUGGAUAAACUUUUUGUUUAGCUCAUGUUAAAUUGAUUUUUAAUCAGCUAUUGUGUUUUUACAGAAAUGAGAUGUAGAGGAAAGAGCAGAACAUUUACAAAUGAAUCUUAUAGUAGCUUAUGA